AUUGAACGCUGGCGGCAUGCUUUACACAUGCAAGUCGAACGGCAGCGCGGGCUUCGGCCUGGCGGCGAGUGGCGAACGGGUGAGUAAUACAUCGGAACGUGCCCAGUAGUGGGGGAUAGCUCGGCGAAAGCCGGAUUAAUAACGCAUACGACCUGAGGGUGAAAGCGGGGGAUCUUCGGACCUCGCGCUAUUGGAGCGGCCGAUGGCAGAUUAGCUAGUUGGUGGGGUAAAGGCCUACCAAGGCGACGAUCUGUAGCUGGUCUGAGAGGACGACCAGCCACACUGGGACUGAGACACGGCCCAGACUACUACGGGAGGCAGCAGUGGGGAAUUUUGGACAAUGGGCGAAAGCCUGAUCCAGCAAUGCCGCGUGUGUGAUGAAGGCCUUCGGGUUGUAAAGCACUUUUGGCGGGAACGAAAAGGACUGUGCCAAUACCACGGUUCGAUGACGGUACCCGCAGAAUAAGCACCGGCUAACUACGUG
rnacentral:rRNA from 1 species